rnacentral:rRNA from 1 species
AUUGAACGCUGGCGGAAUGCUUUACACACGCAAGUCGAACGGCAGCACGGGGGCAACCCUGGUGGCGAGUGGCGAACGGGUGAGUAAUACAUCGGAACGUGCCCAGUCGUGGGGGAUAACUACGCGAAAGCGUAGCUAAUACCGCAUACGAUCUAUGGAUGAAAGCGGGGGAUCGCAAGACCUCGCGCGAUUGGAGCGGCCGAUGGCAGAUUAGGUAGUUGGUGGGGUAAAGGCCUACCAAGCCGACGAUCUGUAGCUGGUCUGAGAGGACGACCAUCCACACUGGGACUGAGACACGGCCCAGACUCCUACGGGAGGCAGCAGUGGGGAAUUUUGGACAAUGGGCGCAAGCCUGAUCCAGCCAUUCCGCGUGCAGGAUGAAGGCCCUCGGGUUGUAAACUGCUUUUGUACGGAACGAAACGGCCUGGGUUAAUACCCUGGGUUAAUGACGGUACCGUAAGAAUAAGCACCGGCUAACUACGUGCCAGCCGCCGCCGUAAGAC